UACGUAGGGGGCAAGCGUUAUCCGGAUUUACUGGGUGUAAAGGGAGCGCAGGCGGCGUCGCAAGUCAGAAGUGAAACCCCCCGGCCCAACUGGGGGCAUGCUUUUGAAACUGCGGUGCUGGAGUGCUGGAGGGGUAAGCGGAAUUCCUAGUGUAGCGGUGAAAUGCGUAGAUAUUAGGAAGAACACCGGUGGCGAAGGCGGCUUACUGGACAGCAACUGACGCUGAGGCUCGAAAGCGUGGGGAG
rnacentral:rRNA from 1 species